GGUACCUAAAUAAUGUCUUACAGUAUUUCUGCGUCGCGUCGUGACAGCUAUAUUUUUUCUGUGUUAUGUACUCGUACCUACAGUGUUUUCAACGAGUGAAUUUUAUAUCUCGGUACUUGAGUUGCUAUUUUUUCGAAUAUUCGAUCAAAACAAGCCAUCAACUGUUCUCUAAUUGCAAGAGAGUUUUUGAAUUUGCUUUUUGCGUAUCUAUUGGCUGCUUUACCUAGGAGUCAUCUGCAUUUCAAAAUUUAAGAAAAUGAUGCGACACUCAUCUGUUUUACUCAUUAUAUUGAUUGCGUUUUCAGCAUAUUGUUUUGGAGUAAUGAUCCCUUAUCAAAAUAGAUCUAGACUCUAUUAUUCCGCGGAAGAAGACCUCACUAUUACGUGUACUGGUACAGAUGAAAUCGCAUGGAACCGCUCCUUGAACGAGCAUGAUAAUUACGCAGUAAUUACGGAAACCCCACACAGAAAAAUCCUUCAAAUAAAAAACGCUUCAGCCUUGAAUUCUGGGAUUUACCAAUGUUUUUCAACAACGAACAGCAGCGACUUCAUGCACAUUUUUCUUUUUCCUGAUAGAUCCUGUUUCGAAUAUAGAAAGUGACCAAAAUUUCCAUACCUUAAUAUCCUGACUACCCUAUCGAUGAUUGAAGAAUAUAAUCUUGAAUUAUUAGCACCUUUAACUGGAUAAUCUAAAACUAUGACAUAAUGUAUUACGUUUAAUUAACCUAGGUCCAAUAAUAAUAUUCGAGUGUAAACUCAACUACAUAUGUACCUAUAUUAAAACUAAAGAAUCUGCUUGUGA